CUACAAUAGUCUUCAAGAGUCUUCGUACUGUAAACGUAAGUUUUUCAUUCUCCUCCAAUGAAGUUUCUCAUAAUUUUCCUGUUGGCGUGUGCUGUGAUGAGCGUCACGGCAAAAGUUUGCAAGAGUGUGGAAGACUGCGAUGACAGCGACUGCAAGAAAGAUUUGAAAGCAAUCUGCGUUGAAGGUAUGUGUCGCUGUGUGGACUACGAAUCGUGGAGAUGGUACACUCUCAUAGCAUUAGGAGGUGAUCCUCGUCUAAUGAAAUAAUGUGCUAUCAAAAAUAUUGUUGCGUAUCCCCCUUCGAAUCCCGAAAUUGUGAACCAUCUGAAGAAUGUCUGUGAAGCCUGUUGAGUUAUGACUGUCAUCUGGAUCUAUCGUCAUUCUUUCCCCUGGAUCCAAAAGAGAUUAUCGACUGGAUUCUGCAUAAUUAAUUAAUGAAUAAACUGUUCGCCCCUUCUAUUUCCUUAAUUACGUGUUCGCCUUUUUCAUUCUUCUGACGUAACAAUAUAUUCAUUUUUUGAAAUAAAUUCAAUGGUAUAACAAGA